UACAUGUAUGGUUUGCCAAAUCAAAAGAGAAAAAACGGACCCAAAGGUGCAUUUAGGGUUUUAAUCAAUGAGCUAUACAAAAGAUAUGUACAUCUAGCUCAAUUCAGCAACCAACUAUAAAAUCCACUCCAAAAGCAUUUAUUGUCCUGUAAGGAAAACAAACGGAAUAGGGUGAGCUUACGUCCAGUGAGAUACUAUCACUCAAGCAACCAACUUCAUAUAAGUAUAAAGUUUUUCAUUUCAAAUCAUCAAAAGUAAACCAAGAGCACACAUUAAUAGAGUUGAUAAAAGGAUAUGGACGGCUCUCAAGAGCCCCUUUCCUUGCUUACAUUCUUGAUCAAACCUCAUUGACCCUCCGUCAAUGUUUAAGAGUAACCAACCGUAGGCUCCACUUUACUUCCAUUCCUUCUACCCAACAUACCCCUACCAGGCCCGAACUCCAAACAGUAGCAAAUUAGUAAUAUUCGAGUAUACCGGAAUCAAGAGUCUCACUGCUACAAGAUUCCAUAUAAUAGUCCUCAUGGCUCGUCAAUUUCAUGACCAAUCCCUCGCCGGCUCGAUUCAAUUGACUACUAAUGGGUUGAGCUCAGUAGUGACAGUAAUGGCCGUUGGAUACUCGUGCAAACGACACCAAAAUCCAGUUUUCAGGUACCAUUCAAGUACCACAGUAAACAGUGAACAGUCACAUACAAUACAAAAGAGGGUGAGGACGAUCAAGUAUAUCCUCACGUUAAUCAAUUUCAAUGGCUAAAUAAGCCUUCAAGACAUCAAUUUCAAGUAUAGCAAAGCCACAUUGUAAACAAACAAGUGAGUAGUACACUUACCAAGCAAGCAAAUGAGAUUUCAUCAACUUCCGCUCAAUGAGCGUCUUGGACCACCGUCACGUCCUAAAACAUUCAAAUAAGUAUAAUAAGACUCGAUUACAAGUCAUAACCAAAUCCACAUACCACCAAAAUAAGGUUCCACUAGAAUGUAUAAGCACUAGAGUAAACCAGGGAAAUCCGGAAAUGGAAUUAAGCUCUAAUCCAAAAAAAAAAAAAA
rnacentral:lncRNA from 1 species